CUUGGUCAUUUAGAGGAAGUAAAAGUCGUAACAAGGUUUCCGUAGGUGAACCUGCGGAAGGAUCAUUACAGAGAAGUUGCUCUUCGGGGUAAAUCUCCCACCCUUGUUUAACGUAUCAAUGUUGCUUUGGUAGGCCCGUCUUUGUGACCACCGGCUUUAGCUGGUCCGCGCCUGCCAGAGGACCCCAAACUCUUUACGUUUUGUGUUGUCUGAGUAAAUCAUAAUAAGUUAAAACUUUCAACAACGGAUCUCUUGGUUCUGGCAUCGAUGAAGAACGCAGCGAAAUGCGAUAAGUAAUGUGAAUUGCAGAAUUCAGCGAAUCAUCGAAUCUUUGAACGCACAUUGCACCCUCUGGUAUUCCGGGGGGUAUGCCUGUUCGAGCGUCAUUACAACUCUCAAGCUCUGCUUGGUAUUGGGCAUCGCCUUAAGUGUGCCCUAAAAUUAGUGGCGGUGUCAUCUGGCUUCACGCGUAGUAAAAUUUCUCGCUAUGAGGUUCUGAUGUUUGCUUGCCAUCAACCCCUAAAUUUCAAAGGUUGACCUCGGAUCAGGUAGGAAUACCCGCUGAACUUAAGCAUAUCAAUAAGCGGAGGA
rnacentral:rRNA from 1 species